rnacentral:rRNA from 1 species
CCUACGGGAGGCAGCAGUAGGGAAUCUUUCACAAUGGGCGAAAGCCUGAUGGAGCAACGCCGCGUGCAGGAUGAAUGCCUUCGGGUUGUAAACUGUUUUUAUAAGAGAGAUAAAUCGUGGUAACUUAUGAAUAAGGAACGGCUAACUACAUGCAGGCAGCCGCGGCCAUACGUAGGAUACGAGCAUUAUCCGGAGUGACUGGGUGUAAAGAGUUGCGUAGGUGGCAUAAUGAGUAGAUAGUGAAAUCUGGUGGCUUAACCAUUCAGACUAUUAGCUAAACUGUUAAGCUCGAGACCGUUAGGGGUAACUGGAAUUUCUGGUGUAGGAGUGAAAUGCGUAGAUAUUAGAAGGAACACCAAUAGCGUAGGCAGGUUGCUGGGACGGUUCUGACACUAAGGCACGAAAGCGUAGGGAGCAAACGGGAUUAGAUACCCGGGUAGUC